rnacentral:rRNA from 1 species
UACGUAGGGUGCGAGCGUUGUCCGGAAUUAUUGGGCGUAAAGGGCUCGUAGGCGGUCUGUCGCGUCGGGAGUGAAAACUCGGGGCUUAACUCCGAGCCUGCUUCUGAUACGGGCAGACUAGAGGUAUGCAGGGGAGAAUGGAAUUCCUGGUGUAGCGGUGAAAUGCGCAGAUAUUCAGGAGGAACACCGAUGGCGAAAGGCAGGUCUCUGGGCCGCAACUGACGCCUGAGGAGCGAAAGCAUGGGGGAGCAAACAGG